AUCUUCCGCAAUGGGCGAAGGCCUGACGGAGCAACGCCGCGUGAGUGAUGCAGGGUUUCGGCUCGUAAAACUCUGUUAUUAGGGAAGAACAAAUGUGUAAGUAACUGUGCCCAUCUUGACGGUACCUAAUCAGAAAGCCACGACUAACUACGUGCCAGCAGCCGCGGUAAUACGUAGUUGUCAAGCGUUAUCCGGAAUUAUUGGUCGUAAAGCGCGCGUAGGCGGUUUCUUAAGUCUGAUGUGAAAGCCCACGGCUCAACCGUGGAGGGUCAUUGGAAACUGGGAAACUUGAGUGCAGAAGAGGAAAGUGGAAUUCCAUGUGUAGCGGUGAAAUGCGCAGAGAUAUGGAGGAACACCAGUGGCGAAGGCGACUUUCUGGUCUGUAACUGACGCUGAUGUGCGAAAGCGUGGGGAUCAAACA
rnacentral:rRNA from 1 species